rnacentral:rRNA from 1 species
GACGAACGCCGGCGGCGUGCUUAACACAUGCAAGUCGAACGGAAAGGCCUCUUUCGGGGGGUACUCGAGUGGCGAACGGGUGAGUAACACGUGAGUAACCUGCCCUUGACUUUGGGAUAACUUCAGGAAACUGGGGCUAAUACCGGAUAGGAGCUCCUGCUGCAUGGUGGGGGUUGGAAAGUUUCGGCGGUUGGGGAUGGACUCGCGGCUUAUCAGCUUGUUGGUGGGGUAGUGGCUUACCAAGGCUUUGACGGGUAGCCGGCCUGAGAGGGUGACCGGCCACAUUGGGACUGAGAUACGGCCCAGACUCCUACGGGAGGCAGCAGUGGGGAAUAUUGCACAAUGGGUGGAAGCCUGAUGCAGCAACGCCGUGUGCGGGAUGACGGCCUUCGGGUUGUAAACCGCUUUCGCUCAUGACGAAGCUUUGUGUGACGGUAGUGGGUAAAGAAGCACCGGCUAACUACGUG